CCUCGUGGCCUGGUCUCCAGUAUCUGGGAGCAGUUACAUCUUGGAGGUGAGGAGUGCCUCGUGGU
rnacentral:pre_miRNA from 1 species